GACAAUAAAGGCUUUGGGCCGCGCUUCUGUCCUUUGCUCCUUCUGCCUCCUGACCAAUCCUGAUACUUCACUCUAUGGCCCUAUGUGUCAUGAUGUGGCCCCUUCUCUUCAGGAACUGGCCACCUGGAUCUGCCUAUACAGGAGGAAAAAUAAAGCCACCAACUUUUACACAGCCCUGCUAAUCAUGGAAGUGUGUCCAGGCUUCAAAUAACUUGAGUUUUAAUUUCUUAAAUUAAAAUUGGGAAAUAUAUUUAAUAUUUAAUACUAAGCUUUAAAACAAAACCUGCUAGCAUUGUUAUGUAUCCUGAUGCAAAGACUAUGAUGUUAAUAAAAGAUAGUACAGAAGACAAAAAAUAAAAUAGAAUAAAAAUAAAGGCUUUCUCUUCCA